GAUGAACGCUGGCGGCGUGCCUAAUACAUGCAAGUCGAGCGAACAGACGAGGAGCUUGCUCCUCUGACGUUAGCGGCGGACGGGUGAGUAACACGUGGAUAACCUACCUAUAAGACUGGGAUAACUUCGGGAAACCGGAGCUAAUACCGUAUAAUAUAUUGAACCGCAUGGUUCAAUAGUGAAAGACGGUUUUGCUGUCACUUAUAGCUGGAUCCGCGCCGCAUUAGCUAGUUGGUAAGGUAACGGCUUACCAGGGCAACGAUGCGUAGCCGACCUGAGAGGGUGAUCGGCCACACUGGAACUGAGACACGGUCCAGGCUCCUACGGGAGGCAGCAGUAGGGAAUCUUCCGCAAUGGGCGAAAGCUUGACGGAGCAACGCCGCGUGAGUGAUGAAAGUCUUCGGAUCGUAAAACUCUGUUAUUAGGGAAGAACAAAUGUGUAAGUAACUAUGCACGUCUUGACGGUACCUAAUCAGAAAGCCACGGCUAACUACGUG
rnacentral:rRNA from 1 species